rnacentral:rRNA from 1 species
GACGAACGCUGGCGGCGUGCUUAACACAUGCGAGUCGAACGGAAAGGCCCUGCUUUUGUGGGGUGCUCGAGUGGCGAACGGGUGAGUAACACGUGAGUAACCUGCACUUGACUUUGGGAUAACUUCAGGAAACUGGGGCUAAUACCGGAUAGGAGCUCCUGAUGCAUGGUGGGGGAUGGAAAGUUUCGGCGGUUGGGGAUGGACUCGCGGCUUAUCAGCUUGUUGGUGGGGUAGUGGCUUACCAAGGCUUUGACGGGUAGCCGGCCUGAGAGGGUGACCGGCCACAUUGGGACUGAGAUACGGCCCAGACUCCUACGGGAGGCAGCAGUGGGGAAUAUUGCGCAAUGGGCGGAAGCCUGAUGCAGCAACGCCGCGUGCGGGAUGACGGCCUUCGGGUUGUAAACCGCUUUCGCCUGUGACGAAGCGUGAGUGACGGUAAUGGGUAAAGAAGCACCGGCUAACUACGUG